rnacentral:misc_RNA from 1 species
CUAUCUGGAAGACUCCCUCUCCAAUUCUAAAAUUAUUGUCUACAUAAUUUCCGGCUGGUCGAGAGAAAGGGGAAAUUUUGUUCGACGGACGACGUUUAUAGUGAGAGGCACUUGGCCGUUGCCCUGGCCUGAUUUCCUGAAUUAUGUUUCAGUCAAGGGAUCGACUAGAAGCUCGUACACCACUUCAACAUGGAAUUGGGAGAUUGCAACAUCUACAAAACUUGAUGAUAGAGUUUCAACAGACUGAGGACGAUGGUUGCCGAGAACAGGUGCUGGCUAAUUUGGCUAACUUUGCCUAUGAUCCAAUAAAUUAUGAGUAUCUGAGACAACUAAAUGCAGUUGAUUUAUUCCUAGAUACCUUAACUGAGCCAUCAGAACGGCUUGUUGAGUUUGGUAUUGGCGGACUUUGCAACCUUGUACUAGACAAGGAGAAUAAGGCCCAUAUUCUAGCAAAUGACGGUGUUUCUCUGGUAAAAGAUUGUUUAUCAAGUCCGAAUGAAGAGAUUGUUUUGUCAGCCAUCACGACCCUAAUGUACCUCAUGACACCAGCUUCUAAACAAGAGAUCACAGCGCCAUCCAUUGUUGAAUGUAUGCAGAGGUUUGCAGGGUCCAGCAGCAAGAGAUUGAGUAACCUAGCCAAUGUCUUUCUCCAGGACUACUGUACUCCAGAGCAACGUCUAAUGGCAGAGUCACCGUCGUUGACCACAGGUUCAGCAGUUGGGAUACCUCUACCACCUGAACCCAAGCAGGAGACAAGAUGAAGAGAUGUCAGUGUCAUUGACCACAGGUUCAGUUGUAGGGAUACUGUUACCACCCGAACCCAAGCAGGAGACAAGAUGAAGAGAUGUCAGUGUCAUUGACCACAGGUUGAGUUGUAGGGAUACCGCUACCACCCGAACCCAAGCAGGAGACAAGAUGAAAAGUCGUCACUGUCAUCCACCACAGGUUCAGUUGUUGGGAUACCUCUACCACCUGAACCCAAGCAGGAGACAAGAUGAAGAGAUGUCAGUGUCAUCGACCACAGGUUCAGUUGUAGGGAUACUGUUACCACCCGAACCCAAGCAGGCGACAAGAUGAAAAGUCGUCACUGUCAUCCACCACAGGUUGAGUUGUAGGGAUACCUCUACCACCUGAACCCAAGCAGGAGACAAGAUGAAGAGAUGUCAGUGUCAUUGACCACAGGUUCAGUUGUAGGGAUACUGUUACCACCCGAACCCAAGCAGGCGACAAGAUGAAAAGUCGUCACUGUCAUCCACCACAGGUUGAGUUGUAGGGAUACCGCUACCGUCUUAACCAAAGUAGGAGACAAGAUGUCGAGAAGUCACCAUCAUCAACCACAGGUUCAUUUGUUGGGUACUACUACCACCUGAACAAAAGCAAAAGCUAUAAAGAUGUCACUCAUCUUGGUGACCCAUCAUCUCAAAAACUGUUGUAUCUCCAGCUUCAGAUGAAGAUAUUAAAUACAAUCAAGUGUCUGCUUUCAAUAUGUCAUCUGUAUGGUGUCUAGAAUCAGUUUUCAAUUCAAAGUUAAUUUUGACGACAAGUAUUUGGCUAGAUGGGAUUGCUUUAA